GAUUAUGUCAAAUUGUGUCAAUCAUUCUUCUUUCAUAAACUCUCUCUUGCGUCCAUCACUCAGCAGAUUUUGAGGGUUUCAAAUUUAGUGCAAUCUCAUCAUCAGCAAUGUCUGUCUCAGAACAGACUUCCAAUGAUCUUAGGGCAUCAAAAAUGUUGAUGCAUAAACUUGGUGAGACCUUCAAAGAUUUCCAGCGUCACUCUGCUUCAAUCACCGAGCUUGGCGAUCAAUGGCAGAAUUUACAGAAUUCUUUUUCUCAUACUCAGCGGUCACUUGAGAUUCGAAUCAAUGAACUGAAGACGAAGGAAACAGAAAUUGAGAUGAUGAAAGCAAAAGUUCAGAAUUUAGAGAGUGAGAUUAAUUUGAAGAAGAAGGAAUUGAUUUUAGAAGGGAAUUCGUUGAGUGAUAGAAUCAAAAUGGUUGAGAUGAGAGAGAAUCAAAUGAAGGAGUGGAAGGAAGUUAUGGAGUUAGAAAAGACGGCGAUGUAUGAGCGUUCGAAAGCAAUUGGUUUGCGAGAGAACAUAAUGAAGCAGCGUUAUAAUGUGUUGGAGAAGAAAGAGAAGGAGUUUUUGGUGGACUUUGAGCGAGUAAGAGCUAUUGAUGUUGAAGAAAAGAGGGUCGCUGAAUGGGAGAAGGCUGUGAAGGAGAAGGAGAAAGAACUGAAUGUCAAUUGGAGUGAAUUGAGUAAGAGGGUUCUGGUUGUACAGAAUAAUGAGCGGAGAUUCGAGGAGGUUAGAAAAGAGUUUGAAUUGAAAGAGAAGGAGAUGGAUGAGAUAUACAAUGCGCUUGAGUUGAAAGAAAAGAGAAUCAAUGAAGAAUCCCAAAGUUUAGUGAAUGAAAAGAAGAUGAUUAAGGAUCAAUGGAAGCAAAUCGAGUCAAAAGAGAAGGGGAUUGAGGAGAAAUCUGUAGGAGUUGAGAAUUUGGUUGAUGAAAAGAUGAUGUUGAAGGAUCAAUUGAAGGUUCUUGAGUUGAAAGAGAAGGAGAUUUUGGAGAAUUCAAUAAGGGUUGAGAAUAAGAUCAGAGAUUUUGAUGAGAAAACGAAGGCCUUAGAGUUGAAAGAAAAGAGGGUCAAUGAGGAAAUUGAAAAUUUACUCAAUGAAAAGAGGAAGAUUAAGGAUCAAUGGAAGGAAAUUGAGGAGAAUUCAGUAAGGAUUAAGAAAAAGGCCAGAGAUGUUGAUGAGAAAACAAAGGGCUUGGUGUUGAAAGAAAAGAGGAUCAAUGAUGAAAAGAAGAUGAUGAAGCAUCAAUGGAAGGAACUUGAGUCAAAAGAGAAGGAGAUUGAGGAGAAUUCAGUAAGGAUUAAGGAUAAGACCAAAGAUGUUAAUGAGAAAAUUAAGGCCUUAGAGUUGAAAGAAAAAGAAAUGAAGGAAUAUUUUCAAGAGAUGGAAAUGAAAUUGGACUUGAAAGAGAAGAAAUUUGAUGAGAAUUGGAAAGAAAAGUUUUUAAUGCAGGGGAAACAUCUUGAUGAAGGCUGUCAAACUUCAGAAUCAAAAGAGAAGCAAUCAAAUGAGCCUUAUCGACUCGAAGGCUCCACCGAGAUGCAAUUGGUGAGCAGAAGUUCGACACCUGUGAGUCACAACCUACCUGACUCACAUAUCUACCGAAUAAGAAGUGAAGUAGUACGUGUUUCAGAGUCAUCCUCGUCGCAUAUCACUAGUAAUAUUUAUUGCUUAUUUCGAAAUAUGGAUGCAGAAGGUAUUAGAUCAUAUCUAAUUGACCAUGUGUCAGAGCUAAAUAUUUUGCAAAAAAAGAUAUUGGAUGCUCUUAGAUCGUCACCUGAUUCUGCAAAGAUUGUUCUUGAUGUCUGUCGAAGUCUCCAUAUAAAAUUUCCAAACAAUCAAAAUGCUGCUAAUAAGAGUACCUGUAUACUUCUGUUGGAGUUGCUAACAGAGUUAUCUCCUUCAAUUGCACGUGACGUGCAGGAUGAUGCAACAUUUAUUGCUGUUUUUAUGAAGGCUUUGAUGAAAGAUGGGAAAAGUGACACUCCCGCUGACAUAUAUGGGUUUUUACAGUUUUUAGCUGCCUUCAAAUUGUCAAAUGAUUAUGACAAAGAGGAGCUAUUCGACAUUUUUACUGGUUUAUACAAAUCUAUUGCGCCUUGGCAUGAGGUUUACCGGCACAAGAACCAUAUAUCUUUAUGCGAUACAUUAGGAUUUCUAAAUAGGAUUCCAGAUCAUGUUAAAUAUUUACUUCAAAAAGGGGCAUGGCUUGCAGCAUUUAAGUUCAUCUGUGUUUUUAAGCUAGAAAACCAGUUUCAACCUGUGCCCCUGUUAAAAGAUCGCUUGACCCGUUUGAAACAAAAGCUGAAUGAAAAACUCAAGGAUAGAUCGUUUAGAUCGAAGAUUGAAGCUAAACAGAUGGAACUGGAAACUCUCACACUUGUGACUAAUUGCAUAACAUAUUUUGAACUCGAGUCAAAAUUCCCACCUGAUCCCCUUUUCGCACGCAUCAAGGAAUUGAAAAUGGAGAAAGAAAAGAGGCAGCCAUCGUGGAAACGCAGUGCAAGCUCCGAACCCUGUGCAUUUGAAACAAGUCUCAGACAUCAAGAAAAGCGACCUCGUGUGAGAAACACUAACCAAAUAGCAGAUUCGGAUAGGGAACAGUUUCCUCAAUCUGCUGGUCAUGCAAGUCAUAGCAUCCCAAAUGCACAUAACGUUGAUCCUCGCUCAGGCUCUGCCUCGCUGGUGUCUACUGGAGAAACACCCUGUUCCCAUGGGAGCCAUCAAGCAUGCGACGCGCAAAAUCUAGGAAAAUAAGUUGCUGGGAGCUAUGAUGUUGAGCUUGUUUCAAGCCUCAAUUUAUUUGUCUUACUGAACUUGGAUUUCAGUUUACAAAGGUUUCUACAUCAAAAGUGCUGGCAAGUUCUGCUGCCUUGUUGAGGGUUCGUCUUUGGUUUCUUCAUUUUCCACGAAUUUCGGGUUUGAUCUUGAUCAAAAUGGGAAUAUUGCAAAGAAUCAAUGGAAUACCAAAGAGCAAAACAUUAGACUUUAAGCUGUUGCAUCUCCCGACUGCACAAUCAGCCAUGCAAAAAACCAGCAGCAAACUUAUUCCUCAAUAUUAAGCAGAAGCAGACCAACUUCAAUCGACAGCACACCAGCAACCUGAUACCAGGACUAGCAGUAUCGAAGAUCUGCUCGAGCAGUAGCUGCAUCCAUUGCAAAAGAGCCAUCAGAAUACGCGUCUAAACACAAAAGGCAAUCAACAACAACGUCAAGCAUCACCGAAGCACAUCAGUGCAGCAGAAGUUGAUCCUACUGAGACAACUAGCAACGGAGGCCAAGACCAGUAGCAACUCGACAUGAUAGAGAUGCUCAUCCGUAACAGCAGAAACAUCAGCAGCGUUGCUGAUUCGAUACAACCCAGCAGAAAUAACAGCAACAUAACACACCUAGCAUAUUAGUCAACCAAACAACAGUAAACAGUCCACCAUUUGAGCAGCAUCCGAGAUAGCUACAUGCCAAAAUUGACUCCAUAGUGUACAACUGCAGAAGUACAUAUUGUUUUAGGUGUAUAUAUUGAUAAAUUUAUUAACGGGCUUGUAAACAACAAGAUCUACAUCCGAGAAAAGUUGGUGGUAUAUAAACGUAAUGAGGUUCCAUUCUAAAAUCAACUUGUAUUAAGAGAAGUAGCAUAUCAAGUGUAUAUGUUAGUUAAUCUCUCUCUAAUAUUUUGAUGUGGAAUCAGAUGUGUGUUAUUUUAACAUAUAUAACAUUACUUGAGUGAAAAGGCAUAAAAUAUGAGGAGUUGGACCACUAUUGAACAUUUAAUGAAUCUAUGCUUGUGUAAUACACUAAUGAGGAUUCUUGUGU